rnacentral:rRNA from 1 species
AAUCAACGCUGGCGGCGUGCCUCAGACAUGCAAGUCGAACGAUUAAAGCUCUCUUCGGAGAGUGCAUAGAGUGGCGCACGGGUGAGUAACACGUAAGUAAUCUACCCUCGAGUGGGGAAUAACGUCCGGAAACGGGCGCUAAUACCGCAUAAUGCAGCGGCAUCAUAAGAUGACAGUUGUUAAAGAUUAUCGCUUGAGGAGGAGCUUGCGGCAGAUUAGCUAGUUGGUAAGGUAACGGCUUACCAAGGCUACGAUCUGUAACCGGUCUUAGAGGACGGUCGGUCACACUGACACUGAAUAACGGGUCAGACUCCUACGGGAGGCAGCAGUCGGGAAUUUUGGGCAAUGGGCGAAAGCCUGACCCAGCAACGCCGCGUGAAGGAUGAAGUAUUUCGGUAUGUAAACUUCGAAAGAAUAGGAAGAAUUAAUGACGGUACUAUUUAUAAGGUCCGGCUAACUACGUGCCAGCAGCCGCCGUAAGAC